rnacentral:lncRNA from 1 species
AAUAUUUCUAUAUCUUUGCUAAAUUUGGUUUCAGUAAAUGAAAACUUGGUCAUUCUAUCCUAUUGAGUUGUCUUGUCUUGAAGAAUGAGCAGGUGACCCUCUGAGGCAUGCAAAAUGGAAACAUAUUCUACAAUGGGAAAAAGAAAACAAUAUGGACACAGUGAGCAAACUUCUCAGAUCUGCAGAGCUGAAGAACUAGAUCGGGGGUCUAAACUCCAGGGCCACAGACUGGUACCAGUCUGUUUUAGGAACCAGGCUGCACAGCAGGAGCGGACUCUGUCUUGAAUCACUACUUGCUCUCGAGAAAGUUCAGGGCUUCUGUGAUAGAGAAUAAGGAGAGAAAUGGGAGCGAAAGAAGAGAAAAAACAGAAACACCUCUCUGAAUGUGAAACACAGAUGUUUUAUUUUCGUGAAGUUGAAGAGAAAAGUGAAGCUGAGGAGAAAAUUGCACAAAACACAGCUGCAUUGUGCAAGAAAAAGUG